AGUGAACGCUGGCGGUAGGCCUAACUCAUGCAAGUCGAACGGCAGCACAGUAAGAGCUUGCUCUUACGGGUGGCGAGUGGCGGACGGGUGAGGAAUACAUCGGAAUCUACUUUUUCGUGGGGGAUAACGUAGGGACACUUACGCUAAUACCGCAUACGACCUACGGGUGAAAGCAGGGGAUCUUCGGACCUUGCGCGAUUGAAUGAGCCGAUGUCGGAUUAGCUAGUUGGCGGGGUAAAGGCCCACCAAGGCGACGAUCCGUAGCUGGUCUGAGAGGAUGAUCAGCCACACUGGAACUGAGACACGGUCCAGACUCCUACGGGAGGCAGCAGUGGGGAAUAUUGGACAAUGGGCGCAAGCCUGAUCCAGCCAUACCGCGUGGGUGAAGAAGGCCUUCGGGUUGUAAAGCCCUUUUGUUGGGAAAGAAAAGCAGCAGGUUAAUACCCCGCUGUUCUGACGGUACCCAAAGAAUAAGCACCGGCUAACUUCGUG
rnacentral:rRNA from 1 species